rnacentral:rRNA from 1 species
UAGGAACGGCUUGUCUUGCUGAUUAGAACGGAGAACUUAAGCAGCAUUGAGCCUGAUCAGUACUUGGAUGGGCGACCUACUGGGAAUUCUAGUUACUUCUCAU